AACGAGGCGAACCGGGGGAACUGAAACAUCUAAGUACCCCGAGGAAAAGAAAUCAACCGAGAUUCCCCCAGUAGCGGCGAGCGAACGGGGAGCAGCCCGGAGUCUGAAUCAGCUUGUGUGUUAGUGGAAGCGUCUGGAAAGUCGCAGGGUACAGGGUGAUACUCCCGUACACUAAAACACACAGGCUGUGAACUCGAAGAGUAGGGCGGGACACGUGGUAUCCUGUCUGAAUAUGGGGGGACCAUCCUCCAAGGCUAAAUACUCCUGACUGACCGAUAGUGAACCAGUACCGUGAGGGAAAGGCGAAAAGAACCCCGGCGAGGGGAGUGAAAAAGAACCUGAAACCGUGUACGUACAAGCAGUAGGAGCCCACUAGUUGGGUGACUGCGUACCUUUUGUAUAAUGGGUCAGCGACUUAUAUUCUGUAGCAAGGUUAACCGAAUAGGGGAGCCGCAGGGAAACCGAGUCUUAACUGGGCGUUAAGUUGCAGGGUAUAGACCCGAAACCCGGUGAUCUAGCCAUGGGCAGGUUGAAGGUUGGGUAACACUAACUGGAGGACCGAACCGACUAAUGUUGAAAAAUUAGCGGAUGACUUGUGGCUGGGGGUGAAAGGCCAAUCAAACCGGGAGAUAGCUGGUUCUCCCCGAAAGCUAUUUAGGUAGCGCCUCGUGAACUCAUCUUCGGGGGUAGAGCACUGUUUCGGCUAGGGGGUCAUCCCGACUUACCAACCCGAUGCAAACUACGAAUACCGAAGAAUGUUAUCACGGGAGACACACGGCGGGUGCUAACGUCCGUCGUGAAGAGGGAAACAACCCAGACCGCCAGCUAAGGUCCCAAAGUCAUGGUUAAGUGGGAAACGAUGUGGGAAGGCCCAGACAGCCAGGAUGUUGGCUUAGAAGCAGCCAUCAUUUAAAGAAAGCGUAAUAGCUCACUGGUCGAGUCGGCCUGCGCGGAAGAUGUAACGGGGCUAAACCAUGCACCGAAGCUGCGGCAGCGACACUAUGUGUUGUUGGGUAGGGGAGCGUUCUGUAAGCCGUUGAAGGUGGCCUGUGAGGGUUGCUGGAGGUAUCAGAAGUGCGAAUGCUGACAUAAGUAACGAUAAUGCGGGUGAAAAACCCGCACGCCGGAAGACCAAGGGUUCCUGUCCAACGUUAAUCGGGGCAGGGUGAGUCGACCCCUAAGGCGAGGCCGAAAGGCGUAGUCGAUGGGAAACAGGUUAAUAUUCCUGUACUUGGUGUUACUGCGAAGGGGGGACGGAGAAGGCUAUGUUGGCCGGGCGACGGUUGUCCCGGUUUAAGCAUGUAGGCGGAUGUUCCAGGUAAAUCCGGAACGUCACUAACGCUGAGGUGUGAUGACGAGGCACUACGGUGCUGAAGUGACAAAUGCCCUGCUUCCAGGAAAAGCCUCUAAGCAUCAGGUAACAUCAAAUCGUACCCCAAACCGACACAGGUGGUCAGGUAGAGAAUACCAAGGCGCUUGAGAGAACUCGGGUGAAGGAACUAGGCAAAAUGGUGCCGUAACUUCGGGAGAAGGCACGCUGAUGGUA
rnacentral:rRNA from 1 species